UUUCCUUUUAGUCCUUUUAGGGGUGGUUCUCAUCUCUUCUGCGGUGGCUCAUGAGCCAUCCAAAGAGGAUGAGUUACAAGUACAAGAAAAUGGAGUUCAAAAAAGAAGCGUUGAGGAUAAUGCCUUGAUGCAUGAAGAACAUUAUGGAGGAGGUGACAGUGGAGGAGGAGGUGGUCAU